rnacentral:rRNA from 2 species
AGAUGCGAUCAUACCAGCACUAAAGCACCGGACGCCAUCAGAACUCCGAAGUUAAGCGUGCUUGGGCGAGAGUAGUACUAGGAUGGGUGACCUCCUGGGAAGUCCUCGUGUUGCAUUCC